rnacentral:misc_RNA from 1 species
AAAUGCGAUAAGUAAUGUGAAUUGCAGAAUUCAGUGAAUCAUCGAAUCUUUGAACGCACCUUGCGCUCCUUGGUAUUCCUUGGAGCAUGCCUGUUUGAGUAUCAUGAAAUCUUCAAAGUAAAUCUUUUGUUAACUCAAUUGGUUUCUACUUUGGUAUUGGAGGUCUUUGCAGCUUCACACCUGCUCCUCUUUGUUCAUUAGCUGGAUCUCAGUGUUAUGCUUGGUUCCACUCGGCGUGAUAAGUUAUCUAUCGCUGAGGACACUGUAAAAGGUGGCCAAGGUAAAUGCAGAUGAACCGCUUCUAAUAGUCCAUUGACUUGGACAAUACUUUUCUGAUCUGAUCUCAAAUCAGGUAGGACUACCCGCUGAACUUAAGC